ACCUUUUUCGAAAAGACUCCAGUACCAGCAUGCCGAACGUCAAAUAUCUGGCAACCGCCAAGCACAAAAAUCGAGAGAGCAACUUCGACUGUGAAAAUUCUUCUGUACUUCAUUCGAAACUCGAACUCGGAAGUAGGAGGACUGGUGUUGGGUAUAAAAUACCCCCAGUCGAAGUUCAUAAGAGGCCAACUCUCCUGAGAUCCCUCCGACUUAGUGCGACAUCUUUUUCGAAUUUCUCUGGCAGCCGAAUUUUCGACCUGGUGCGAUGCUUUUCUAAAGUCCCCCAACUAUCUAAGCUAUGAUAACGCCCUUCCGGACUUCUCCAACAAUGCUAUCCGGGCUUCACUAUCUACCAACCUUCUACAAUGAUCGAUC
rnacentral:lncRNA from 1 species